CUUUUUUUCAUUUCAUAAGUAAUCAAGCUAUCUUUCCAGCUUAAAAGCAAAGAAAAAAGGCUCAGGGUAACUUUUUAAACCACUUCAUCAAUAAGAAAAGUUCUCUCUGUCAUUGCACGGCGUGAUUGUACACAGUAUUAGCAAGCAGUUCACAUGCGCCAGGGCCGACUUGGAAGGAAACACAGGUUAACACUGUUUCCUGUCCGAGUUCACAGAGAUGUUUGCAGCAGGCUCAGUUGCUUUGGCAGCUGGAGCGAGGGUGCCUCUUCCGCGUGGCUCCCCUGAGCAGAGAGGCCCCUGUGGUUUUUUUCUC
rnacentral:lncRNA from 1 species